GAUUAAGUUAUUAAGGGCGCACGGUGGAUGCCUUGGCACUAGAAGCCAAUGAAGGACGUUACUAACGACGAUAUGCUUUGGGGAGCUGUAAGUAAGCUUUGAUCCAGAGAUUUCCGAAUGGGGAAACCCAGCAUGAGUUAUGUCAUGUUAUCGAUAUGUGAAUACAUAGCAUAUCAGAAGGCACACCCGGAGAACUGAAACAUCUUAGUACCCGGAGGAAGAGAAAGAAAAUUCGAUUCCCUUAGUAGCGGCGAGCGAAACGGGAAGAGCCCAAACCAACAAGCUUGCUUGUUGGGGUUGUAGGACACUCUAUACGGAGUUACAAAGGACGACAUUAGACGAAUCAUCUGGAAAGAUGAAUCAAAGAAGGUAAUAAUCCUGUAGUCGAAAAUGUUGUCUCUCUUGAGUGGAUCCUGAGUACGACGGAGCACGUGAAAUUCCGUCGGAAUCUGGGAGGACCAUCUCCUAAGGCUAAAUACUCUCUAGUGACCGAUAGUGAACCAGUACCGUGAGGGAAAGGUGAAAAGCACCCCGGAAGGGGAGUGAAAUAGAACCUGAAACCGUGUGCUUACAAGUAGUCAGAGCCCGUUAAUGGGUGAUGGCGUGCCUUUUGUAGAAUGAACCGGCGAGUUACGAUUUGAUGCAAGGUUAAGCAGUAAAUGUGGAGCCGUAGCGAAAGCGAGUCUGAAUAGGGCGUUUAGUAUUUGGUCGUAGACCCGAAACCAGGUGAUCUACCCUUGGUCAGGUUGAAGUUCAGGUAACACUGAAUGGAGGACCGAACCGACUUACGUUGAAAAGUGAGCGGAUGAACUGAGGGUAGCGGAGAAAUUCCAAUCGAACCUGGAGAUAGCUGGUUCUCUCCGAAAUAGCUUUAGGGCUAGCCUCAAGUGAUGAUUAUUGGAGGUAGAGCACUGUUUGGACGAGGGGCCCCUCUCGGGUUACCGAAUUCAGACAAACUCCGAAUGCCAAUUAAUUUAACUUGGGAGUCAGAACAUGGGUGAUAAGGUCCGUGUUCGAAAGGGAAACAGCCCAGACCACCAGCUAAGGUCCCAAAAUAUAUGUUAAGUGGAAAAGGAUGUGGCGUUGCCCAGACAACUAGGAUGUUGGCUUAGAAGCAGCCAUCAUUUAAAGAGUGCGUAAUAGCUCACUAGUCGAGUGACACUGCGCCGAAAAUGUACCGGGGCUAAACAUA
rnacentral:rRNA from 1 species